AUACGGAGGGUGCAAGCGUUGUUCGGAAUUAUUGGGCGUAAAGAGCAUGUAGGCGGACUAUUAAGUCUGGUGUGAAAGCCCGGGGCUCAACCCCGGAAGUGCAUUGGAUACUGGUAGUCUUGAGUAUGGGAGAGGAAAGUAGAAUUCCGAGUGUAGGAGUGAAAUCCGUAGAUAUUCGGAGGAACACCAGUAGCGAAGGCGGCUUUCUGGACCAAUACUGACGCUGAAAUGCGAAAGCGUGGGGAGCGAACAGGAUUAGAUACCCUAGUAGUCC
rnacentral:rRNA from 1 species